GUGUCUUUCCGUUUAGGGCGACGAUGCCGCUAGGCGUGUACAGAGAGAACUGCUGCAAAAAACGAGCUGGGCGGAAGGAGGUGAUGGAGUCACCUGAAACCCGCACACGAUCCAAAUACACGUGAUCGGAGUGAGCCUGAAGUUGUAAUCAUUGAGGCGGGCCCAUGCAGAAGAGAUGGGUGGCUUGAAAUAAAACCUUGAAAGGAGGACAUCUUGCUCUGAUCCUACACAAGCUUGGAAGACUGCAGCACCGUAUGUCAGACUGAAUGGGAGGAUGGCAAGGGAAAUUGAAGUCUUCCAAGUGUUGCGCAAGGGUUCCUGGUUGCUGCCCGAUGGUUGGCUUGAAGCAGAACGGCUGAGACUUGAAGGAGAAAUCAUUUCAGUGUCCCAGGAGUGUUGCUGUACAAUAAAUGCAUGGUUUUGCACCAUGGCAAAU